rnacentral:rRNA from 1 species
CCUACGGGAUGCUGCAGUGGGGGAUAUUGGACAAUGGGGGAAACCCUGAUCCAGCGACGCCGCGUGAGUGAAGAAGUAUUUCGGUAUGUAAAGCUCUAUCAGCAGGGAAGAAAGAAAUGACGGUACCUGAGUAAGAAGCCCCGGCUAACUACGUGCCAGCAGCCGCGGGAAUACGUAGGGGGCAAGCGUUAUCCGGAGUUACUGGGUGUAAAGGGAGCGUAGACGGUAAUGCAAGUCUGGAGUGAAAGGCGGGGGCCCAACCCCCGGACUGCUCUGGAAACUGUGUAACUGGAGUGCAGGAGAGGCAGGCGGAAUGCCUAGUGUAGCGGUGAAAUGCGUAGAUAUUAGGAGGAACACCAGUGGCGAAGGCGGCCUGCUGGACUGUAACUGACGUUGAGGCUCGAAAGCGUGGGGAGCAAACAGGAUUAGAUACCCCUGUAGUC